rnacentral:rRNA from 1 species
GACGAACGCUGGCGGCGUGCUUAACACAUGCGAGUCGAACGAAGCUUGAUUACGGAUUCUUCGGAUGAAGUAUGAUAUGACUGAGUGGCGGACGGGUGAGUAACGCGUGAGUAACCUGCCCUUCAGAGGGGGAUAGCGUUUGGAAACGAACGGUAAUACCGCAUAAUGUAUUUUGACCGCAUGAUCGAAAUACCAAAGAUUUAUCGCUGAAGGAUGGACUCGCGUCUGAUUAGGUAGUUGGUGGGGUAACGGCCUACCAAGCCGACGAUCAGUAGCCGGACUGAGAGGUUGAUCGGCCACAUUGGGACUGAGACACGGCCCAGACUCCUACGGGAGGCAGCAGUGGGGAAUAUUGCACAAUGGGCGCAAGCCUGAUGCAGCAACGCCGCGUGAAGGAAGACGGUUUUCGGAUUGUAAACUUCUGUUCUUAGUGAAGAAUAAUGACGGUAGCUAAGGAGCAAGCCACGGCUAACUACGUG